GGCACAGUGCGUUCUCAAAGGGUAUUUAUAUUCACCCAAAACUACAAAAGUAAGCAUGCGGUCUCAGCCUUCAUAUUUAAAAGAGAAACUGAGUUUUUAAAUAGCCAUUUUUUUACUAACUUUAAAUAAUCAUUCUAACAGAAAAUCCAUCCAAAAAGAAGCAGAGAUAUCAUUUUCAACAACAGCAUCCUCUGUCAACCACUGUGCAAUGUAACCGCAAGACAUCUGUUCAAUCAGGAAAGCAGGAAAUCACAAAAUGAACCAAAUCAAAUGAAGGUUUCUAAAUCUUGCUGCAGUAGAUUUUAUGAAGAAUCUCAACACAAGCAACAGGGUUCAAGCACUUAGUAAAAAGGAACUAUUUACAGCACUGUGCCCUCAUUUGCAGUUAGCUGCAUGCGCUUGUUUUAUUAAAGCCUCAUUAUGUAAUACACGAGCAAGAGACUUGAAAUAAUAUGACCUAGUGGUGAAUUAAAUUAAAUGUCAACAACAAGCCGCCGUCAUCCUGAACCCUAUUCCAGCCCUUGGUUAAUAUCCUUGAGAAAGGACAAAACAUUUUGUCUUUCCUAGUAAAAAUACUUUCGUUGCUCCUUUUGUGAAGUGUUUUUCUUUGUUCUGUUUUGUUUUUAAUGUUUUAUCAUGUUACUGCAGCUAUUUUAUUUUUACAUUUAACAACAAAACAAGUCCUCCCUCUUUUUUUUCUCAUAAUCUAAUUCCGCUGUUUUCCUUCCUCUUUCAUCGCAUGUCUACAAGCCUGCUUCUCUCUUCCCUCCCCAAAUUCCCACUUCAACUACUCGCUCAGUUGUGCAGAUUGGAGUUCCUCCUCUUGAUCUAGCUGCUCCCGCUCUGUUCCCCUGUCCUCUCUGGUCUCUGUGCAGGCCCUCCUUCAGUGGCUCUGUCUGGUGUGUCACCCUGUGCAGCUUUUGCACUACAGUACAUCCUGUUGAUAGGAAGCAUCCUGUGCAUCAUCACUCCCAGCUGCCUGUGGGUUCAGCUGGCUCAGUCUGGCCCAUCUGUGUGAUCUUCUGCCAGAUAUCUGGGGUUUGGCUCUGUGUGAUCCGUCCCUCUCCAAAUCUUUUGCCAGGAGAAAGAGGUAGAGAGGCUGGAGAAAGGAAGGUGCAGGUUGGACAGUAAGCUCCGCAUUGACUGCACUGCCUUAGGGGUCUCUGUGGUCCUGAUACUGGCUCCUGUGCUCGCUAUAGAUUGCUCAUGUCUAACAACGAACAUACGAGACCUCUACUGUGUGUAUGAAUGUGUAAAGACAAGCUUCAGGUGUGGUGGUGAUGCAAGUAUCUAAUCCUGUGUGACAUUUAAAUGCCAUGUCUACUAUUGAUAUAUGGUUGAAGUACCUCUGGGGCAUUGUUCCAAUUCCAAAUGUCUCUGAUAUAUUUUGAGGAAAAAUCUAAUAAGAGGAACGUGAACCAAGCUCCAGGUUUUAUAUCUUUGUCGUACCACAUUGCAUUGUCUGACUCCUCAUCACUGGCCAAUGACUAGAAGCAAGAGUGUGAAUGUGGAUCAGAGGACCCGUGUGAAGGUCAAAGAGUAGCAUUCAGGACACAGUGAACAGGUAUAGGUAAUACUGGCUGAUAAUACAAUAUGUGCCAACCCUACCGCAUGCAGGUUUAUAUACAAAGGGACUUCAAACAUGCAUAUUAAACAGGGCAACAGCCAUUUUUUCGUUUACACACCUAAUGUGCCGCUGCCAUUUAAGUUUUAAGCAAUAUAAUUGCGCCCACCUUACGUUUGCUGUUAAAUUAAUGAGAAUACGGUAUGUUGAUAAUUAAGUUAAUUAGAAAUGGCAAGUUACAAUAUGAGUAUUGUUUGUUACCAAACACUUAUUUCCCACCAAAACAUCCAAUCUUGUAGUACAACAUCCAAUUAGUUUUUUACUGAAAAUCCAAUAUUCAAUACAACAUCUGACAUUCACAACUCAUUUAACACACAGUCAUAUUUUAUCCAUCAUAAUACGUUUAUAGCUUAAACUCAACUUUUUUCUGAAGGCUUGGAGCAGCGCUCCCCAGCCUAGUUCGCCUAUGCCCUGAGCUCAGGCCAUUGUUGACCGUCUUGCGCAUUGUAUUCCCUCUCCUAAAACAACAACCAAACACUGUGGCCAAUACAUAUAAAGAUCCCCUGAUAACUGUGUGACAGUAAUACAAAACGCCAGUAUAGAUUAGAAUUGGUUCCUCGGGACCUUUAGACCUUGACUUUUUAGCAGUUUAGCUAAGUUUCCUAAAAAGUAUUGCUUUCCUUUCACAAAACACUAAUAACACAAAAGUCUUAUUAUUUAAACUGAUUAUUAUGUUUGAUUAUUAUGUAAAACUAAUA